CCUGGAUGCAGAGGAGCAUAAGACUUGUGGCCGAUCAUCUGGUCUUGAUUGUAUUUGCGAGCCAGAGCCACUAGAGAAGGCUCUCUAAUUCAUUCCCUAAGCGCUACGUCUCGACAAAAGAUGAAGGGUCAUUCUGCUUUCUGGAUAUUGUAAUCAGCCGCAGUUCAGCCAUCAUCAAGCUGCUUCCCAGCGAAGAUCAAUCGCUCUUGCUCCGGUAGG
rnacentral:misc_RNA from 1 species